rnacentral:rRNA from 1 species
AGAGCGAACGCUGGCGGCGUGCUUAACACAUGCAAGUCGAGUGCGCGCCUGUAGCAAUACAGGUGGCGCACGGCGCACGGGUGCGUAACACGUGGGUAAUCUGCCCUUCGAUGGGGAAUAACUCCGGGAAACCGAAGCUAAUUCCGCAUAACAUUCCUUGGACCUCGGUCUGGGGAUUCAAAGCCGUAAGGCGUCGGAGGAGGAGCCCGCGCACGAUUAGUUAGUUGGCAGGGUAACGGCCUACCAAGACUUUGAUCGUUAGC